rnacentral:rRNA from 1 species
CCUUUGCCGGCGACCGGCGCACGGGUGGGUAACACGUAUGCAACCUGCCCUCUUCAGGGGGACAACCUUCCGAAAGGGAGGCUAAUCCCGCGUAUAUCGGUUUCGGGCAUCCGAGAUCGAGGAAAGAUUCAUCGGAAGAGGAUGGGCAUGCGGCGCAUUAGCUAGACGGCGGGGUAACGGCCCACCGUGGCGACGAUGCGUAGGGGUUCUGAGAGGAAGGUCCCCCACACUGGUACUGAGACACGGACCAGACUCCUACGGGAGGCAGCAG